CACGUAGGGGGCAAGCGUUGUCCGGAAUCAUUGGGUGUAAAGAGCUCGUAGGCGGCUCAGUAAGUCGGGUGUGAAACCCUCAGGCUCAACCUGGGGACGCCACCCGAUACUGCUGUGGCUAGAGUCCAGUAGGGGAGUGUGGAAUUCCCGGUGUAGCGGUGAAAUGCGCAGAUAUCGGGAGGAACACCAGCGGCGAAGGCGGCACUCUGGGCUGGUACUGACGCUGAGGAGCGAAAGCGUGGGUAGCAAACAGG
rnacentral:rRNA from 1 species